rnacentral:lncRNA from 1 species
CCCGUGCAUAUGGCGUGUGCGGCGGCCGCUCCUUCUGCCGACCGCAUGGCGAUGGAAGCUUACGGGCUGGAAUUCCUCCUAGAUCCAGUAGAGUAGACUGGUGAGUUCCCCUAAGCCAGCACUGCUCCCUUAUCUGUUGGAUUCUAAUUUCUCUACAAACUUGUUCCCCUGCGAUCCACGGAAUCCAUCCCCUGCCCCCGCCGCCGGUGACUCAUUUCCUACCUGGCAGGUUUCCACUUAGGGAGGGGUCUGCGGACAGUUUGGAACACCCAAAUCCGGUGCCUUUAGCGCUGCUGCCGCGCCCCGAGGUCGAACUCCGGGCCUGGCUGUGGGGGACUGCAACCAUGGGAUAUCCGGAUGUGAGGUUCGGUGAAGGAAGAAUGCUUCACCGACACGGUCUGCACAGUCCACUGGGAAGGUGAAUCCGGAAGUAGGGUGGACGAAGAGGUAAUGCAGGCACAGUUCUUCUCAGUUCAAUGUGGCAAUCAUUUUUGCUAGGGAACUAAAGAUGCUCACAAGGCAGUGACGCAUUUGAUGUUCAGCACUGAUCCAGUGUGUUGGCGUACUGUGCUAAAUGUUUUAGAUUAGGUGAUUUCUGUAGAAUUGGAUUGCUCACGCACUGUUCGAAUUAAACCAUACGUGUGUUCAAAUUCAGGUUGAGGCUGGAAAGUGCACCGCCUGAUAGGACCCCGUAUGCGUCAUGGAUGAACGCCCUGAAACAAUCUAACCGACAAUUUUGUAGAAGAGCCUACUAAUGCUGGUGAAACCAGAUCAUGGUCUAUGUUUUGACUCAUUCGCUGAGGUUUAUGCCUUUUACAAGUUGUAUUCGUGGGAGGUUGGCUUUGGGGGUAUAGCAAGAGUAGACUGAAUGCUGAGGCAACCAAAUCAUUGCAGGAGAUCGUGUGUGACUGUUCAGUGAGACAUAAUGUUUUGUUGCUAAUUUUGGUUUUGACAAACAGUGUCCUUAGCAGAGGGAGUACCAUUGGUUACUUAUUUUGUGUUCUCAGUUACUCUUGUGCACACAAGUUCUGCAUCUUUCAGUUCUAAUUUUUAAGAACUGAGAAGAUUAUACCUCAGGUUCUUCAUGGCCGCUGAGAUUUUGAAAUCUUGGUUUUUAUUCUUGCUCUUCCGUUUCUUUGCUAAUCCGGCGCGUAUGCCUCUGUAAAUGCAAUUUGGGUUGCGAAUUGUCAACCCACCUGUCCUGAAACAAUUGAUGUUGUGGCUCGCGCGCCAGCUGUUCGACGCAAUUCUACUGUAGAAUUCAGUACCAUUUGGAGUUGUGCAGUUGAGUUUGGAUCAUCCCAAAGGCAAAUCAUGAGUUUCCAUUUCCUUUGUUACUAGUAGCGCUUACUGUUAGGCAUGGCAUUGACAGGCCUUAGUGUUAGCAAAUUCAUUGUUAACUUCUUGCAUGAUAGUUCCUUUUCCCAUAUCUGUUAAUUGGGGAUAAUGUACACUAUAUUAGCCAGUGCUGCUUAUCAAGGAAGCUGGGCUGGAUGUCUUCUCCAAACUCCCAUGUUGAUCACUUCCAGCCCACACUUGAAAAUGUAUUACUCACAAGUCACUUUGCCGACAUAUUUGUGGUUCAUUUUAUCUCCAGGAAUUAACUAAUGAUCAAUUGUUUUGUUGUUAUUCAGGAAGCAUGUCUUAAGUGAAAAUAGGCAUGGACAAGCUCCAUAUAUUUUAGUUUGACAAAACAACUUAGACGGAAAUACUAAAAUAAUAGCUUUUGAGGCAUCGCAACCAUUCAUUCAGCUUCUCAGUUAUUUGAAUGAGCUUUGGUGACCUUACCAGUGCAGACCUUCUAGCCAGAUUUGGGAUCGUAUGUGUGCUGCUGAUUUUCUUUAUUUCACUAUAAAAGUUGAAGCUUUUACUCUCCAUGUAUAACCAUUGUGACUUUGAUGUUAUAUGUAUGCACUGUAGAGUAUUGUAGAAGGAGAACUUUAAAGAAAGCUUUUAUAACAUGUUGCAGGAACAUCGCCUUGUGCAUUGCAAGAAGCUUGACCAUUGUAUUUUUGAUGAUGUUGGUAAGCUAUUAGUACUAAGAAAGAAAGGGAUUGAAGCGGUGAUAUUAUAUUUAGAAUGCGUAUACUUGCAAUUAAUGGAGCUAGUUCGGAUUGGAACGCCUCAGUGCCAUCUUAUGAUCUCGUGUUGGGUCGAAAGAAGGAUAUAAUAACGGAGGCAACACCGGUAGGUGAAACUGCAGAAUCAGCUCAUAAGAAAAUUACAGAGUCAGCCGCAGUGAGGCGGAUAUGAUGGAUAACGAGAACAACGUCACACUGUUGGGCAAUUGGCAUGCGCUAGCUGAUCUUGCAGCGCCAAUCAAGAUAAGGGGUGCUGGAAGACCAACAAUGAGUAGGGAGAAGGCGUCCUGUGAGGGUUUGAGUAAGCGGAAAAGGUUCUGCAGUAUCUGUAAACGCCCGGGGCACAAGCAGACUACAUGCCCAGAAAGUGAGGGGACUUGCCGAAGCAGCCUCGCAAGCCAGCAAGAUUCAAGUUGCAUUUUAGGAAAAUUAAGCUUGCAUGAAUAAAUUUGAGGAUUUUCUAGUGUACAAUUCGUACUGGAAAAAACGCACACUAAUAUUUUCAUAAGGAACUGUACUGUUUUUAUGAACUGAAUGUCAUUGUUUGUCUGUUUGGCAUGCGUGUUUGUAACAUUAUUCACGCUGUGUAUCCUAUAUGUUUGUUGUAUCCCUCACGAUGUGGUCUACUUUGUGCCCAUGGUGGUUCUUAGAUGAGCACAUAGUCAGUUAUUCG